UACGUAGGGGGCUAGCGUUGUCCGGAUUUAUUGGGCGUAAAGAGCUCGUAGGUGGUUCGGUAAGUCGGCUGUGAAAUCUCCAGGCUCAACCUGGAGGGGUCAUUCGAUACUGCCGUGACUAGAGUUCGGUAGAGGAGUGUGGAAUUCCUGGUGGAGCGGUGAAAUGCGCAGAGAUCAGGAGGAACACCCGUAGCGAAGGCGGCACUCUGGGCCGAUACUGACACUGAGACGCGAAAGCGUGGGGAGCGAACAGG
rnacentral:rRNA from 1 species